rnacentral:rRNA from 1 species
UACGUAGGCAGCGAGCGUUUGUUCGGAGUUACUGGGCGUAAAGGGUGUGUAGGCGGUUGCUUAAAGUUUGGUGUGAAAUCUCCCGGCUCAACUGGGAGGGUGCGCCGAAUACUGAGUGACUCGAGUGCGGGAGAGGAGAGUGGAAUUCCUGGUGUAGCGGUGAAAUGCGUAGAUAUCAGGAGGAACACCGGUGGUGUAGACGGCUCUCUGGACCGUAACUGACGCUGAGACACGAAAAGCGUGGGUAGCAAACAAGG